rnacentral:rRNA from 1 species
CCUACGGGUGGCAGCAGUGGGGAAUAUUGGACAAUGGGGGCAACCCUGAUCCAGCCAUGCCGCGUGUGUGAAGAAGGCCCUCGGGUUGUAAAGCACUUUCAGUGAGGAAGAACUCCUGGUGGUUAAUACCCAUCAGGAAAGACAUCACUCACAGAAGAAGCACCGGCUAACUCCGUGCCAGCAGCCGCGGUAAUACGGAGGGUGCGAGCGUUAAUCGGAAUUACUGGGCGUAAAGCGCGCGUAGGUGGCUUGAUAAGCCGGUUGUGAAAGCCCCGGGCUCAACCUGGGAACGGCAUCCGGAACUGUCAAGCUAGAGUGCAGGAGAGGAAGGUAGAAUUCCCGGUGUAGCGGUGAAAUGCGUAGAGAUCGGGAGGAAUACCAGUGGCGAAGGCGGCCUUCUGGACUGACACUGACACUGAGGUGCGAAAGCGUGGGUAGCAAACAGGAUUAGAUACCCCAGUAGUC